rnacentral:rRNA from 1 species
AGUGAACGCUGGCGGUGGGCCUAACACAUGCAAGUCGAACGGCAGCACAGUAAGUGCUUGCUCUUACGGGUGGGGAGUGGCGGGCGGGUGAGGAAAAUAUCCGAAUCUACUUUUUCGUAGGGGAUAACGUAGGGAAACUUACGCUAAUACCGCAUACGAUCUACGGGUGAAAGCAGGGGAUCUUCGGACCUUUCGCGAUUGGAUGAGCGGAUGUCGGAUUAGCUGGUUGGUGGGGUAAAGGCCAAGCCAGGCGACGAUCCGUAGCUGGUGUGAGAGAAUGGUCACCGACACGGGAACUGAGACACGGUCCAGACGCCUACGGGAGGCAGCAGUGGGGAACAUUGGACAAUGGGGGCAAGCCUUAUCCAGCCAUACCGCGUGUGUGACGAAGGCGUUCGGUUUGUAAAGCCCUUUUGUUGGGAAAGAAAAGCAGCAGGUUAAUACCCAGCGGUUGUGACGGUACUCAAAGAAUAAGCACCGGCUAACUACGUG